CGUCCAUGCACUGCAGGGCAUAGCACUUAGUGAUUGGAGAAUGCAGCUUUCAUUACCAAAAGCCCCAAAGAGAGCCGGCCAAUGGCCUCUGCUACUAGGCUGAGUUCCUCCUGAUGAGCUGGAACAAGCCCAGCACAACAUCCUAACCAAGAAAGAGAGCCAGAGAGAAAGGCUUUCCAUGGGCUCCAAGGCAGAUGAGACAGUACAGCACUGUGACCCUCAUGUGGAGGGGAUUUGGAGAGUGGGCUGGGGUCAGAACUUGGAGUUCCCAGAUCCCCAACCCCACUCUGGGGCCUGUCUGCCACCACACAGCAGAUGGAGCCACAGGGAGAUGGGGGCUGGGGUGACUGUGAUGGAGUCGGAGAGCCAGAGGGAGAGGGUUUGGGUGUGGCUGUGAGUGUGAGACCCAGAGAAGGUGGUCAAGUGUCCAAAAGAGCCAGCCGGGCGUGGUGGCUCACGCCUGUAAUGCCAGCACUUUGGGAGGCUAAGGCAGGCAGAUUGCCAGAUUGCUUGAGCCUAGGAGUUCAAGACCAGCCUGGGCAACAUGGCGGAACCCCCGUCUCUACUAAAACUACAAAAAUUAGCCAGGCGUGGUGGUGCGUGCCUGUAAUCCCAGCUACUUGGGAGGCUGAGACAGGAGAAUCUCUUGAACCCGGGAGGUGGAGGUUGCAGUGAGCCAAGAUCAUGCCAUUGUACUCCAGCCUGGGCAACAGAGCGAGACUCCGUCUCAAAAAAGAAAAAAGAAAAAGCCCAAGUCAAAGGGGGAGAAAUGGGGUCAGAGACAGCCAAGGAUUGGGAGACGUGGGGCAGAGAGGGAGAGGCUGGGCCGGAGAUAGACAGGAGUGGAGGUGAGGGAGCAAGGACUCACAGCAGGUGGCAGGUGGCAGGCUUGUGUUCACGCAUCUGGCACCAGUGAGUGCCUGUUACAUGCCAGGAGUUAUUCCAGGAAGAAGGAAACUGAUAAAGUGCCCUUGAGAAUUUCUCAAACGGGAACUCCUGCAGUGGCAGCUGAGGGGCUCCAGCGCCUUCUCGGGUCCUUCCACCCCAUCUGGCUGGGUUUCCCCAUAGCCCUGGGCAUGGCAGCCUCCACCCCUAUGCCCGAGGGCAGAUGAAUGCCAGAGGGAGUGACCUGGGGCAGGUCACACGGGCAGGAAGAGGCUGCA
rnacentral:lncRNA from 1 species